UACGGGGGGAGCAAGCGUUGUUCGGAUUUACUGGGCGUAAAGGGCUCGUAGGCGGCCAACUAAGUCGGACGUGAAAUCCCUCGGCUUAACCGGGGAACUGCGUCCGAUACUGGAUGGCUUGAGUUUGGGAGAGGGAUGCGGAAUUCCAGGUGUAGCGGUGAAAUGCGUAGAUAUCUGGAGGAACACCGGUGGCGAAGGCGGCAUCCUGGACCAACACUGACGCUGAUGAGCGAAAGCCAGGGGAGCAAACGGG
rnacentral:rRNA from 1 species